GGUCUACAAUACCGAACAUUAAAGUACAGUACCUCAUAACGUGUCUGAUACCACCCACUUGCGCUACUUAUCUUCGUAGGCUGAUAUUAGCGGCAGUCGUCUAACUAUACGCAGUUCCAGAUUAUACAUCCUCCUGCGCUACUUUACGUCGUGUACCGUAUAAUACUACUCGCAGAUGUCUGCCUACUUGCACUACUUAUCUUCGAGGGCUGAUAUUAGUGGCAGUCGUCCAAUUAUUCGCAGUUCCAGAUUAUACAUCCUCCUGCGCUACUUUACGUCGUGUACUGUAUGAUAUUACUCGCAGAUGUCUGCCUACUUGCAGGCUUAUACUACUGAUUGUAUCCAAGUUUCUAUAGGUUUAUACGUAAGUAGCGACGUUUAUCGAUCUAAAAGAUAAGACCUUUGGAUAGUAUAUAAAGUAUUUCGACUAAAGCCAGCGAUUCGAUUCGAUAUAUUAUUCAACGCACGAUACAUACGAUAAGUAAUUCUUUAAAUAAAAAAAUAUUUAAAAGAGAUCGAAUGGAGAUAAAACUCGUGAAUCAGAGGACAAGCGAGUUUAACGAUUUGAAAGCACACAUUUGACCAUGGUGCCAAGCCAAAGAUCGAAUAUUAGGAAUUUUGAACGUAAGGUGAAAAGGCUCCUCUUUGGUCCUGUAGACGUAUUCCAGCAACUUAUUAGCGAUUCCGACUGUGUCAAGAGGAAUUGCAGCAAAUACGCCUUUGGAGGCUACGUGACGGACAAGAUGAAAUUUCGCGAUACACACUGGAUUACCCUAGAAAUCGAUACAAAAGUAUUUGUAAGGUGGGAAAGUUUUAUCAAAGGAAAACAACUUGAUCUGGUGACAUCGAAAUAUCAGUUUUUAAGGAUAUUUUUGAAUUGCAAUCGACAGCCAAGCUUCUUUAACGUUUUACAAUUUGUCUGCAAAUUGAGUUCAAUCCUUUGUUACUGUAAAUUCAGAGUACAAUUGUAUAUUGCAGAAACGUAUAUUACGAGAGUACAAUCCUAUGCAUUUUGUAGAAACAUAUAUUGCAAAACUAUUAUUCAAACUAUUCUUACUGCAUUUGAUAUUUGAUAUUUGAUAUUUAUAUUCCGUGCAUUUGAUACGAAAAAUUGAUACUCUAUUAUGCAUUGUUUACUCUAGAAAAUGCGUCAGAAUUUGUUUUACUCAACGUAGAAGCACUUUAAAUAACCAUUCGUACUACCACGGUGUAAAUUGGUAAUAAAUCUUGCAAAUGUAAUGCAGCGAACAAUGAAAGUUCGAAUGUACGAACCCAAUGAUAUUUAUCUUCACUAUUUUUAUUUUUUCACUAUUUAUCAUUACUUAUCGUCGUAGACUAAUAUAUGUUACUUACAAAUGUUCGAUUGCGCACAAUAAUAUUUAAGGUGUCCGAUCGUAUAUUUGCCCACACUACUUAUCAUUCUGUACUGCAAUAUAUAAUAUUACUGAUAAA